rnacentral:rRNA from 1 species
UGCGAGGGGGGCGAGCGUUGUUCGGAAUUAUUGGGCGUAAAGGGUGCGUAGGCGGUUCCGCAAGUCCUGUGUGAAAUCUUCGGGCUCAACUCGAAGUCUGCACGGGAAACUGCGGGGCUUGAGUGUGGGAGAGGUGAGUGGAAUUCCCGGUGUAGCGGUGAAAUGCGUAGAGAUCGGGAGGAACACCUGUGGCGAAAGCGGCUCACUGGACCAUAACUGACGCUGAUGCACGAAAGCUGGGGGAGCAAACAGG